UUUGUGGAGAGUUUGAUCCUGGCUCAGGACGAACGCUGGCGGCGUGCUUAACACAUGCAAGUCGAACGGAAAGGCCUGCAGCUUGCUGCGGGUACUCGAGUGGCGAACGGGUGAGUAACACGUGGGUGAUCUGCCUUGCACUUCGGGAUAAGCUUGGGAAACUGGGUCUAAUACCGGAUAGGACAGCUGUUUAGUGUCAGUUGUGGAAAGUUUUUUCGGUGCAAGAUGAGCUCGCGGCCUAUCAGCUUGUUGGUGGGGUAAUGGCCUACCAAGGCGUCGACGGGUAGCCGGCCUGAGAGGGUGUACGGCCACAUUGGGACUGAGAUACGGCCCAGACUCCUACGGGAGGCAGCAGUGGGGAAUAUUGCACAAUGGGCGGAAGCCUGAUGCAGCGACGCCGCGUGGGGGAUGAAGGCCUUCGGGUUGUAAACUCCUUUCGACAGGGACGAAGCUUUUGUGACGGUACCUGUAUAAGAAGCACCGGCUAACUACGUGCCAGCAGCCGCGGUAAUACGUAGGGUGCGAGCGUUGUCCGGAAUUACUGGGCGUAAAGAGCUCGUAGGUGGUUUGUCGCGUCGUCUGUGAAAUUCCGGGGCUUAACUCCGGGCGUGCAGGCGAUACGGGCUGACUUGAGUGCUGUAGGGGAGACUGGAAUUCCUGGUGUAGCGGUGAAAUGCGCAGAUAUCAGGAGGAACACCGAUGGCGAAGGCAGGUCUCUGGGCAGUAACUGACGCUGAGGAGCGAAAGCAUGGGUAGCGAACAGGAUUAGAUACCCUGGUAGUCCAUGCCGUAAACGGUGGGCGCUAGGUGUAGGGGGCUUCCACGUCUUCUGUGCCGUAGCUAACGCAUUAAGCGCCCCGCCUGGGGAGUACGGCCGCAAGGCUAAAACUCAAAGGAAUUGACGGGGGCCCGCACAAGCGGCGGAGCAUGUGGAUUAAUUCGAUGCAACGCGAAGAACCUUACCUGGGCUUGACAUAUACAAGACAGGCGUAGAGAUACGUCCUCCCUUGUGGUUUGUAUACAGGUGGUGCAUGGUUGUCGUCAGCUCGUGUCGUGAGAUGUUGGGUUAAGUCCCGCAACGAGCGCAACCCUUGUCUUAUGUUGCCAGCAUUUGGUUGGGGACUCAUGAGAGACUGCCGGGGUCAACUCGGAGGAAGGUGGGGAUGACGUCAAAUCAUCAUGCCCCUUAUGUCCAGGG
rnacentral:rRNA from 1 species